AAAAGGAUUUAAUUUAAUUUAAUUUUUCUCAUUUUAUAUUAGUAAAUGUUUUUAAUAUAGAUUUUACCAAAAAUAAGGAUAAGGAUGGUAUAUGACAUAUAAAUCGAUGAACCAACACCGAUGAAUUAUAUUAUAAUCCUAUUAAUUAUUUAACUUUUCUUUAAAUGUCUUCGAAAAACUAUCUUUGUCUUACAUUUUUCCUUUCCUGGUCUGAAUCUGUAUCCUCAUCGGUGAAUCACCAUUAAAAAACUCAAUUUAAAUGCACAUAUUACAUUUCGCCCGGGCAGACUACGCGCUUAACAAUGACGGACUCCACUGGAGACCGCGUCACCUCAUUUGAUUUGGUAUGAAAAAUCUCCUUUUAUUAAUAUUCAUGAAAGCUGAAAACUUUUUCGGUUAUUUAUUUAAUGGGAACUGAAAUCCACUGAGUCCAGUGAGGAUGCUCAUGAUUCUGUGGUUAAAGAAGAGGGUUAAGCUGUGUGCAUAAAUUUAACUUAACACGUUUGUAUUUAUCUGUUUUUUGUUGUUUUUAAUAAAAAACGAAGUGUAAACUAAUUGAAAAACAAGUGUGAAAGCCAAUAAAUCAUGUAUUUUAAAAAGCUCCAUUUAUCUAAAACUAAGCACAAAUAAACGUUUAGCGUCUAAUUUGGAACUGAUAGCUUAAAUUUCGAAUAUAUUUGCCAAUUUUCAUUAUAAUUUAGGUAAGUCCUGGCAUCGAUAAGCAAUUAAUGUGUGGAAGCAGCCAGCCGCUAUGCAAAUGGUCAUAUGUUAAACGCCAGCCACCGAAAUGACAUCGAUGCGAUGGUAUAAAUCACGGAUUGUGCGCUUUGGUCGUCGAUGGCAGUACAAGUACUAUUAAAAGCCAUUCCGAUGAACCUUAGUACUCGUAAAUCAUAAAGGAGCGCCUUCUCGGUAGCUACCUCGUCCUUUCGCCUUCUUUAUUGUUUUGAAAUUUAUGUCCUGGAGAGAUUCUCUGCAAUCGGUAUUGUCUUGGUUUGGUCCACUUCGGUCUAGAGUUGCUUCUGAUUGGAAACAUUCUAAAUAAAUUUAAAGCCGAACUAAAGACAACUUUUCCUUGGACUAACUACUAUUACUAUUACUACUAUUAUUAAAUAUAGAUCCACUCAGUUUGUUUAAUCAGUUUGAAGCAUCAAUCCAUUGAGAUUUUUGAAAUCUGAAGCAUAAGUCGAGUGAAAACAUCGUACAAUAUGCAUGGUGUAAGCAUAUAAUAAACUCGCCAGAUAAACGGAGCUGACGUCAUUGACUUCACAACACAGGCAAACGAAUUGGUGGAGAUGGUGAAUGCAGGACACUUGCCUUGAUGACAGGCCAGGCUUUACAACAACUGCGUACGGCUCAAUUCAUUCAAUCAAGUUAAAUAGAAGCGGUAUGAGUUUCUGGAAACAUCAGCUGCAGGCUGCUUGUUCUAUAGCAAAAGCAGCUUGUUCUAUAGCAAAUAUGAACAGCAUGGGCGGAUCAAGAAUGAUUUUUCAAGGGGUCUUGAGAAAUUGUUACCAAUUAUUUAAUAAUAAUAAUAACAGCAAAGAUGCCCUUUCAUGUCCUGGAACCUAGUAUGUUAAGGAUGGGGCGCUCAGUUCCAGCCAGUAGAAUUACGACGGAGGACCUUAAACAUCGCUUACUUGCUCUUCAGACACGAGUCACUGAAUGGAAACGAGUCCAAAAGAAGGAAACUGAUCUGAAUUUAAGUUUAUGGAAAUUUCAACUGACCGAACUUUAGUUUGGGACUUUAUGAAACAAUUAUAUCUGCAUACAAAAUGCUAUAAAAUUCUGUCAAUAUAGCUAGUCACAAGUUGAAUAUUGUUGGCUUGGCUUGUUCGCUUUUUUUUUGUAAAAUCCGAAGUCAAUCAUUCUUAGGAAAAUGGGCUGAUAAAGUAAUUUUAACACGCACCGCGUAAUCUUCUUUUAGCGUUCUGUCGCCUGCGAAAUUGAGCAAUUUAAUUAUACUCGUAUGGAAAAAUAAUGAUGCUGCCUCUGCACAUUCUCCGGAAAGCCAUUCCAGAUUGGAACCGCAGACACCGUGAGCAACAACAUUGCGAUAUAAAAAGAAAAAAAAACAUAAUAUAUGUUUAAUGUCCAUAAUAAAAUGUAAAAACAAAAGGAUUGGCCUGCCCGUUAUCAAAGGAAAGAAAUUAAUUGGAAUAUCCGAAUUGUAAUGUUCAAUUUAUCGUGGCCAUAAAUAUUUGAAAACAAAGGGUUAAAAUAAUGUUAUGUAUUUGAUAAUUAUAAAAAAAUAAUGGAUAAUUUUUUGUGUAAUUUUUCCUUCAUAUUUUUAAGAAGUAAAUAUCUACAUCUAGAAUUAUAAACACAACAAAA